rnacentral:misc_RNA from 1 species
GGCCCCUUUCUGGGAGGGGCCUGAUGAAGAGGCACCCAUAGGAAUGGGCACCCGUUAUAUGGCCAUGGCCAUCGUAAACAAGAAGCAUGGAGUUCCAGUGCCCUUUCUAUGAAAGCUAAUUGAACUAUUUAUCAUGGAACCUUUUUAAUGUAUUUUGGAUAGAAUACCAUUUCCUUACAGAGGAAAGAAACCAAUAUAUUAUAGAUCAAUUUUCU